UAGGGAAUAUUGCUCAAUGGGGGAAACCCUGAAGCAGCAACGCCGCGUGGAGGAUGACACUUUUCGGAGCGUAAACUCCUUUUGUUAGGGAAGAACCAUGACGGUACCUAACGAAUAAGCACCGGCUAACUCCGUGCCAGCAGCCGCGGUAAUACGGGGGGUGCAAGCGUUACUCGGAAUCACUGGGCGUAAAGGACGCGUAGGCGGAUUAUCAAGUCUCUUGUGAAAUCCUAUGGCUUAACCAUAGAACUGCUUGGGAAACUGAUAAUCUAGAGUGAGGGAGAGGCAGAUGGAAUUGGUGGUGUAGGGGUAAAAUCCGUAGAGAUCACCAGGAAUACCCAUUGCGAAGGCGAUCUGCUGGAACUCAACUGACGCUAAGGCGUGAAAGCGUGGGGAGCAAACAGG
rnacentral:rRNA from 1 species